rnacentral:rRNA from 1 species
UGAACGCUGGCGGCGUGCCUCAUACAUGCACGUCGAGCGAACGGACGAGAAGCUUGCUUCUCUGAUGUUAGCGGCGGACGGGUGAGUAACACGUGGAUAACCUACCUAUAAGACUGGGAUAACUUCGGGAAACCGGAGCUAAUACCGGAUAAUAUUUUGAACCGCAUGGUUCAAAAGUGAAAGACGGUCUUGCUGUCACUUAUAGAUGGAUCCGCGCUGCAUUAGCUAGUUGGUAAGGUAACGGCUUACCAAGGCAACGAUGCAUAGCCGACCUGAGAGGGUGAUCGGCCACACUGGAACUGAGACACGGUCCAGACUCCUACGGGAGGCAGCAGUAGGGAAUCUUCCGCAAUGGGCGAAAGCCUGACGGAGCAACGCCGCGUGAGUGAUGAAGGUCUUCGGAUCGUAAAACUCUGUUAUUAGGGAAGAACAUAUGUGUAAGUAACUGUGCACAUCUUGACGGUACCUAAUCAGAAAGCCACGGCUAACUACGUG